AGGGGCGUGGUGAAAUGGUAUCACGAAGGUCUCCAAAACCUUUUUUGAGGGUUCGAAUCCUUCCGCCCCUGCCA
rnacentral:tRNA from 1 species